UACAGAGACCUCAAGCAUUAUCCGGAUUUACUGGGCGUAAAGCGUCCGCAGGUGGUUCGUUAAGUCAUUUGUCAAAUCCCGGUGCUCAACAUCGGGGCCGCGGAUGAUACUGACGAACUUGAGGCUGGGAGAGGGAAGAGGAACUGCCGGUGUAGUAGUAAAAUGCGUUAAUAUCGGCAGGAACACCAAAGGCGAAGGCAUCUUCCUGGAACAGUCCUGACACUCAGGGACGAAAGCGUGGGGAG
rnacentral:rRNA from 1 species